rnacentral:rRNA from 1 species
AUUGAACGCUGGCGGCAGGCUUAACACAUGCAAGUCGAGCGGGGAAAGGUAGCUUGCUACCUGACCUAGCGGCGGACGGGUGAGUAAUGCUUAGGAAUCUGCCUAUUAGUGGGGGACAACAUCUCGAAAGGGAUGCUAAUACCGCAUACGUCCUACGGGAGAAAGCAGGGGACCUUCGGGCCUUGCGCUAAUAGAUGAGCCUAAUUCGGAUUAGCUAGUUGGUGGGGUAAAGGCCUACCAAGGCGACGAUCUGUAGCGGGUCUGAGAGGAUGAUCCGCCACACUGGGACUGAGACACGGCCCAGACUCCUACGGGAGGCAGCAGUGGGGAAUAUUGGACAAUGGGGGGAACCCUGAUCCAGCCAUGCCGCGUGUGUGAAGAAGGCCUUUUGGUUGUAAAGCACUUUAAGCGAGGAGGAGGCUACCGAGAUUAAUACUCUUGGAUAGUGGACGUUACUCGCAGAAUAAGCACCGGCUAACUCUGUG